AACGAACGCUGGCGGCAUGCCUAACACAUGCAAGUCGAACGAGACCUUCGGGUCUAGUGGCGCACGGGUGCGUAACGCGUGGGAACCUGCCCUUAGGUUCGGAAUAACUCCCCGAAAGGGGUGCUAAUAACGGAUAAUGUCUUCGGACCAAAGAUUUAUCGCCUUUGGAUGGGCACGCGUUGGAUUAGCUAGUUGGUAGGGUAAAAGCCUACCAAGGCGACGAUCCAUAGCUGGUCUGUGAGGAUGAUCAGCCACACUGGGACUGGGACACGGCCCAGACUCCUACGGGAGGCAGCAGUGGGGAAUAUUGGACAAUGGGCGAAAGCCUGAUCCAGCAAUGCCGCGGGAGUGAUGAAGGCCUUAGGGUUGUAAAGCGCUUUUACCCGGGAUGAUAAUAACAGUACCGGGAGAAUAAGCUCCGGCUAACUCCGU
rnacentral:rRNA from 1 species